rfam:Treponema phagedenis F0421 genomic scaffold Scfld110, whole genome shotgun sequence.
UUUUAUCUGUCGAGUUUCGGCUUUGAAUUUAAGGUGCCGAAACAUCUCGUGUUGUAUGUGUUUUUGCACUGCAAAAACACUUGAAAAAAGUUUUUUCGAAAUCUGAAGAUUCCUGCAAAACUUUUUAUAGAG